AUUGAACGCUGGCGGCAGGCCUAACACAUGCAAGUCGAGCGGUAGAGAGGUGCUUGCAUCUCUUGAGAGCGGCGGACGGGUGAGUAAUGCCUAGGAAUCUGCCUAGUGGUGGGGGAUAACGUUCGGAAACGGACGCUAAUACCGCAUACGUCCUACGGGAGAAAGCGGGGGAGUCUUCGGACCUCGCGCCAUUAGAUGAGCCUAGGUCGGAUUAGCUAGUUGGUGAGGUAAUGGCUCACCAAGGCGACGAUCCGUAACUGGUCUGAGAGGAUGAUCAGUCACACUGGAACUGAGACACGGUCCAGACUCCUACGGGAGGCAGCAGUGGGGAAUAUUGGACAAUGGGCGAAAGCCUGAUCCAGCCAUGCCGCGUGUGUGAAGAAGGUCUUCGGAUUGUAAAGCACUUUAAGUUGGGAGGAAGGGCAGUAAGUUAAUAACGUUGGCUACUUUGACGUUACCGACAGAAUAAGCACCGGCUAAC
rnacentral:rRNA from 1 species